UCGUUGAGAUGCAGCAAUUGCUUCUUGAUAGUUUCUCCUCUAUUUCUCCUUUGUAGACUUGGCGCGGGCCGUAAGGCACCGCGCAUUUUU
rfam:Chromobacterium sp. 37-2 Cmus_37-2.1, whole genome shotgun sequence.